rnacentral:rRNA from 1 species
UACGUAGGGGGCAAGCGUUGUCCGGAAUUAUUGGGCGUAAAGGGCUCGUAGGCGGUUUGUCACGUCGGGAGUGAAAACUCAGGGCUUAACCCUGAGCCUGCUUCCGAUACGGGCAGACUAGAGGUAUGCAGGGGAGAACGGAAUUCCCAGUGUAGCGGUGAAAUGCGUAGAUAUUGGGAGGAACACCAGUGGCGAAGGCGGCUCACUGGACCGGUACUGACGCUGAGGCGCGAAAGCGUGGGUAGCAAACAGG